UACGGAGGGUGCAAGCGUUAUCCGGAAUUACUGGGCGUAAAGCGUGCGCAGGCGGUUUGUUAAGUCGGCUGUGAAAUCCCCGAGCUCAACUUGGGAAUUGCAGUGGAUACUGGCAGGCUGGAGUAUGGUAGAGGAAGGUGGAAUUCCCGGUGUAGCAGUGAAAUGCGUAGAGAUCGGGAGGAACACCAGUGGCGAAGGCGGCCUUCUGGACCAAUACUGACGCUCAUGCACGAAAGCGUGGGGAGCAAACAGG
rnacentral:rRNA from 1 species